GACACUAUAGCCAAGUGGUUACGGCGACAGAUUCGAAUGUUCACCAGGAUUUGAACCUCCUAUCUGUUCCUCUUUGAGGGCGCAGGUUCAAAUCCUGCUGGUGUCG
rnacentral:tRNA from 1 species